UACGUAGGGUGCAAGCGUUAAUCGGAAUUACUGGGCGUAAAGCGUGCGCAGGCGGUGAUGUAAGACAGAUGUGAAAUCCCCGGGCUCAACCUGGGAACUGCAUUUGUGACUGCAUCGCUGGAGUGCGGCAGAGGGGGAUGGAAUUCCGCGUGUAGCAGUGAAAUGCGUAGAGAUGUGGAGGAACACCGAUGGCGAAGGCAGCCCCCUGGGCCAAUACUGACGCUCAUGCACGAAAGCGUGGGGAGCAAACAGG
rnacentral:rRNA from 1 species